UUUGGGAUAGCUCAGUUGGCAGAUCAUGGGACUCAUCAUCUCAGGGCUGUGGGUUCGAAUCCCACAUUGGGCAAAA